AAAUAUGAGAGUUUGAUCCUGGCUCAGGACAAACGCUGGCGGCGUGCCUAACACAUGCAAGUCGAGCGGGG
rnacentral:rRNA from 1 species